rnacentral:rRNA from 1 species
UACGGAGGGGGCUAGCGUUGUUCGGAAUUACUGGGCGUAAAGGGAGCGUAGGCGGACAUUUAAGUCAGGGGUGAAAUCCCGGGGCUCAACCUCGGAAUUGCCUUUGGUACUGGGUGUCUUGAGUAUGAGAGAGGUGUGUGGAACUCCGAGUGUAGAGGUGAAAUUCGUAGAUAUUCGGAAGAACACCAGUGGCGAAGGCGACACACUGGCUCAUUACUGACGCUGAGGCUCGAAAGCGUGGGGAGCAAACAGG